rnacentral:rRNA from 1 species
CAGUGAUAAACUGGAGGAAGGUGGGGAUGACGUCAAGUCAUCAUGGCCCUUACGACCAGGGCUACACACGUGCUACAAUGGCGCAUACAAAGAGAAGCGACCUCGCGAGAGCAAGCGGACCUCAUAAAGUGCGUCGUAGUCCGGAUUGGAGUCUGCAACUCGACUCCAUGAAGUCGGAAUCGCUAGUAAUCGUGGAUCAGAAUGCCACGGUGAAUACGUUCCCGGGCCUUGUACACACCGCCCGUCACACCAUGGGAGUGGGUUGCAAAAGAAGUAGGUAGCUUAACCUUCGGGAGGGCGCUUACCACUUUGUGAUUCAUGACUGGGGUGAAGUCGUAAC